rnacentral:rRNA from 1 species
AUUGAACGCUGGCGGAAUGCUUUACACAUGCAAGUCGAACGGCAGCACGGACUUCGGUCUGGUGGCGAGUGGCGAACGGGUGAGUAAUACAUCGGAACGUGCCCAAUCGUGGGGGAUAACGUAGCGAAAGCUACGCUAAUACCGCAUACGAUCUAAGGAUGAAAGCGGGGGAUCGCAAGACCUCGCGCGAUUGGAGCGGCCGAUGGCAGAUUAGGUAGUUGGUAGGGUAAAGGGCUACCAAGCCGACGAUCUGUAGCUGGUCUGAGAGGAUGAUCAGCCACACUGGGACGGAGACACGGCCCAGACUCCUACGGGAGGCAGCAGUGGGGAAUUUUGGACAAUGGACGCAAGUCUGAUCCAGCCAUUCCGCGUGCAGGAUGAAGGCCCUCGGGUUGUAAACUGCUUUUGUACAGAACGAAAAGGCUCUGGUUAAUACCUAGGGCUCAUGACGGUACUGUAAGAAUAAGCACCGGCUAACUACGUGCCAGCCGCCGCGGUAAGAC